CUUCGGGUGAACUGUGGUUAAGGAACUCGCCAAAUUGCCCCCGUAACUUCGGGAGAAGGGGGGCCAGUUCUGGUGAUGUCCCUUGCGGACGGAGCUGGGGUUGGCCGCAGAGACCAGGGGGAAGCGACUGUUUACUAAAAACACAGGUCCAUGCUAAGUCGUAAGACGACGUAUAUGGACUGACGCCUGCCCGGUGCUGGAACGUUAAGGGGACCGGUUAGUCUUUCGGGGCGAGGCUGAGAACUUAAGCGCCAGUAAACGGCGGUGGUAACUAUAACCAUCCUAAGGUAGCGAAAUUCCUUGUCGGGUAAGUUCCGACCUGCACGAAUGGCGUAACGACUUCCCUACUGUCUCAACCACAGACCCGGCGAAAUUGCAGUACGAGUAAAGAUGCUCGUUACGCGCGGCAGGACGGAAAGACCCCGGGACCUUUACUAUAGCUUGACAUUGGCACUCGGAUUAGUUUGUGUAGGAUAGGUGGGAGCCGGUGAAGCAGCGACGCCAGUUGUUGUGGAGGCAAGCUUGAAAUACCACUCUGGUUGAUCUGGGUUUCUAACCUCGGACCGUGAGCCGGUUCAGGGACAGUGUCUGGUGGGUAGUUUGACUGGGGCGGUUGCCUCCUAAAAUGUAACGGAGGCGCCCAAAGGUUCCCUCAGCCUGGUUGGCAAUCAGGUGUUGAGUGCAAGUACAUAAGGGAGCUUGACUGUGAGACUGACAGGUCGAGCAGGGACGAAAGUCGGGACUAGUGAUCCGGCACUUGCGUGUGGAAGCGGUGUCGCUCAACGGAUAAAAGGUACCCCGGGGAUAACAGGCUGAUCUUCCCCAAGAGUCCAUAUCGACGGGAUGGUUUGGCACCUCGAUGUCGGCUCGUCGCAUCCUGGGGCUGGAGUAGGUCCCAAGGGUUGGGCUGUUCGCCCAUUAAAGCGGUACGCGAGCUGGGUUUAGAACGUCGUGAGACAGUUCGGUCCCUAUCCGCCGUGCGCGUAGGAUACUUGAGAAGGGCUGUCCCUAGUACGAGAGGACCGGGACGGACGAACCUCUGGUGUGCCAGUUGUCCCGCCAGGGGCACGGCUGGUUGGCUACGUUCGGAAGGGAUAACCGCUGAAAGCAUCUAAGCGGGAAGCCUGCUUCAAGAUGAGGUAUCCCACCCUUGUGGGUUAAGGCCCCCAGCUAGACGACUGGGUUGAUAGGCCAGAGAUGUAAGCACGGUAACGUGUUCAGUUGACUGGUACUAAUAGGCCGAGGACU
rnacentral:rRNA from 1 species